UUUAACUGAAGAGUUUGAUCAUGGCUCAGAUUGAACGCUGGCGGCAGGCUUAACACAUGCAAGUCGAGCGGGGGAAGGUAGCUUGCUACUGGACCUAGCGGCGGACGGGUGAGUAAUGCUUAGGAAUCUGCCUAUUAGUGGGGGACAACAUCUCGAAAGGGAUGCUAAU
rnacentral:rRNA from 1 species